rnacentral:rRNA from 1 species
UACGUAGGUGGCGAGCGUUGUCCGGAUUUACUGGGCGUAAAGGGAGCGUAGUCGGACUUUUAAGUGAGAUGUGAAAUACCCGGGCUCAACUUGGGUGCUGCAUUUCAAACUGGAAGUCUAGAGUGCAGGAGAGGAGAAUGGAAUUCCUAGUGUAGCGGUGAAAUGCGUAGAGAUUAGGAAGAACACCAGUGGCGAAGGCGAUUCUCUGGACUGUAACUGACGCUGAGGCUCGAAAGCGUGGGGAGCAAACAGGAUUAGAUACCCGUGUAGU